UCUUAUAAUCGCAGAUUUUAUUUAUUUUUAAUAAUGCCUUUCUGUGUCACCAAUUAUGUGUAGAAGUGAAGAAAGUGCAUGAAUAAGAAAGUGAAUUCACUAAUUUGUUAUGAUUUCGAAUAAAAAUUAACGAAGAAAUAAAUUGCUUCGUUGGAUGGAUUCAGUGAGGAAUAUAUUGUAUCAGUAUAUGUAAGGAAGAAAAGUUUCUUAAAGUUUAUACCAAUACUGGAACUGUUUUAUUUUGAACAGUAUUCACUACUAUUGAUAGAGAGGGCCGCCUCCACAGAUUGAUUAAUUUAGUUACAUUCAAGAAGUAUUUUUCAUUGAUUUCCAAAAGCUCUCAAUCUAUUUUAUAUACAUAUAAAAUUAAUAUGCAGUUAUUACUAUACAAGUCUAGGGUCA